rnacentral:ncRNA from 1 species
CAGAGUAGGAGCCGGCGCGUUUAAGUGUUUCACGGACGGGGAGUUGCCGCGAAAACGAAGGUUUUCCGCGAUGCCGGUUUCGCAUCCCGCUGU